rnacentral:rRNA from 1 species
UACGGAAGGCAGCAGUGGGGAAUAUUGCACAAUGGGCGCAAGCCUGAUGCAGCCAUGCCGCGUGUAUGAAAAAGGCCUUCGGGUUGUAAAGUACUUUCAGUCGUGAGGAAGGUGUUAAGGUUAAUAACCUUAGCAAUUGACGUUAGCGACAGAAGAAGCACCGGCUAACUCCGUGCCAGCAGCCGCGGUAAUACGGAGGGUGCGAGCGUUAAUCGGAAUUACUGGGCGUAAAGGGCACGCAGGCGGUUAAUUAAGUUGGAUGUGAAAUCCCCGGGCUUAACCUGGGAAUGGCAUUCAGGACUGGUUAGCUAGAGUCUUGUAGAGGGGGUAGAAUUCCAUGUGUAGCGGUGAAAUGCGUAGAGAUGUGGAGGAAUACCGGUGGCGAAGGCGGCCCCUGGACAAAGACUGACGCUCAUGUGCGAAAGCGUGGGGAGCAAACAGGGAUUAGAUACC